UUUCACAGCCAAAUCACACUGCAGCCCAAAAGUGGUUACAUACUAAAGCUAAGCAGGGCUGAGCCUGAUCAGUACCUGGAUGGGAGACCAUAUGGGAAAACUAGGUUGCUGUUGGAA
ensembl:rRNA 5S_rRNA 5S ribosomal RNA